CGAUCGGUAACGUUGAACAUGAUCUAUAACACUUGAAGUGUUUAGAAAUCAAAUUUCAAAACUAUUCGACAUCAUUUGCCUAAUAAUCAAAAAGUUUCAAAUUUUGUAAUUUUAAUGGUUGAUAUGAGGCGUUUUCUCGUUUAACGGCGUAAAGAUAUCCAAACCUAUUGAAUUUUUAUUAGAAAAUUCUUUAAACUAUUUAAAACAAGAUCAAUACUCUUGAUCUUGAUUAUAAGACUCCUAUCAUCAUUUUUUAAAGAAUAUUCAUUUUCAGCCGUUCAUUUUUGUGUUCACUCGAUGAAUAAGAGAACAAUAUCGAAAAUGUAUGAAUUUGAUUUCUAAACACUUCAAAUGGUAUAGAUCAUGUUCAACGGUGCCGAUCGUCGAUUUGGAAGCUCCUUCAUCGAAAACAAAUGGGUGGCAACGGAGCUCGUUUGCUAUCGAUAGUAUUCUAGCUCAACUCUCUCUCUCUCUCUCUCUCUCUCUCUCUCUAUAUAUAUAUAUAUAUAUAUAUAGAGUCCGGCUACUAUGCUAUUAAUAGCACGAAGCACUUGGUGCUACCAAGUUUUUCGCCGUUAGAUCUACCCUUUUGAUCAUUUUCACCCGUUAGAUCAUACUAUUCAACCAACCACCUAUUCAACCCUAGGAGGCCCACAUCAUACUAACCGCACAUCUCUUAAUCCAAUGGCCAAAAACUUGGUAGCACCAAUAACUUGGUGCUAUUAAUAGUAUAUUAGCCUAGUUCUAUAUAUAUAUAUAUAU
rnacentral:lncRNA from 1 species